rnacentral:rRNA from 1 species
UACGGAGGAGGCAAGCGUUAUCCGGAUUUAUUGGGCGUAAAGCGUCCGCAGGUGGUUGAUCAAGUCUGCUGUCAAAGCGCGAAGCUUAACUUCGUACGGGCAGUGGAAACUGAUGAACUUGAGGGUGAUAGGGGCAGAGGGAAUUCCUAGUGUAGCGGUGAAAUGCGUAGAGAUUAGGAAGAACACCGGUGGCGAAAGCGCUCUGCUGGGUCACACCUGACACUGAGGCACGAGAGCAUGGGUAGCGAACAGG